AAUUGAAUUCCAUAUUGAAAUCACGGCAGAGGAAAAUAAACCAGGCCAGGAGCGGUUUAUUUUUGAAACGUCAAAUAAGGG